GUUCCCGUAGCGGAGUGGUUACCGCGUGACUCUUAUACGCUAGGAAUUCCCUUAGUAGUAUGGUAGAUAUGUCAAGGUCCGGGGUUCGACCCCCCGCGGGAACA
rnacentral:tRNA from 1 species